rnacentral:rRNA from 1 species
CCUACGGGGUGCAGCAGUGAGGAAUAUUGGUCAAUGGGCUUACGCCUGAACCAGCCAAGUCGCGUGAGGGAAGACUGCCCUAUGGGUUGUAAACCUCUUUUGUCAGGGAGCAAUUGGCGCUACGUGUAGCGUUAUCGAGAGUACCUGAAGAAAAAGCAUCGGCUAACUCCGUGCCAGCAGCCGCGGUAAUACGGAGGAUGCGAGCGUUAUCCGGAUUUAUUGGGUUUAAAGGGUGCGUAGGCGGAAUGCCAAGUCAGCGGUAAAAUCGCGGGGCUCAACCUCGCUCCGCCGUUGAAACUGGCGGUCUUGAGUGGGCGAGAAGUAUGCGGAAUGCGUGGUGUAGCGGUGAAAUGCAUAGAUAUCACGCAGAACUCCGAUUGCGAAGGCAGCAUACCGGCGCCCAACUGACGCUGAAGCACGAAAGCGUGGGUAUCGAACAGGAUUAGAUACCCGAGUAGUC